UGUGCCCAGUGCUGUCCUAUGAGCUUUCCAUGUAUCAGUUCCAUGUAUUCAGACUGCUUGGUAAUUCCACUUGGGGGACCCUGCCAUUGUUUCCAUUUUACAGAUGGGGAAGCUGAGGCUGGAGAGGACAAAUAACUUACACACAACUGGAAAAUGGAGGGUCCAGGAUUUGGACUUAGUCUGGCUCUGCUGAGUGAUUCUUUAGGACAUCUGUCUGCCUCGUGUGUGUCAUCUACAGAGAAUCAGAAUCAGCCCAGGACAAGCAAUGAUGGUGUUUCCUUCUUGUCUUUGGAAUGUUGGAAGUAUUAUCCCUUCUGCCUGAAGUCCUAUAGCCUCUCUUUGUGCCUCUGCAACAGCAGACCUGGCUAUGGAGCCACGAGUGUAGCAGAUCCAUCAUCAGAGAACGUGAUUAUGAUGAUUUCAUGAUCAACAUCCAUUUUUAUGUGCUGGAAGGCUGCUGCCCCCAGUGCACUCUGUUUUGUUGCUGAGACCUUUUCUGCUGUCCAGUAAGUUAGACGGUGGGUUUCACCCUGAACAAGAAGAAAACCAACAUCAACACCAACUAAAUUCAUCCACCACUGAGGUGAGCUGCUGCAGAUGGACAGAACCGAGCUUCUGUAUUUUCUUCUCAUUUGGACUCAGCAAAUUUCCCGUGAUUUCCAGAAAUGAGGAGAUAAGAAAGUCUUUGCUCUGUACUUUGAAGAACUCACCCAACCAGGAGGC